GCCCGGUGGCCACAGCGCAUACAUACAGUGGCCGUCGCCUCUCAGCCGUCGUGCUUCGCGUCUCACUCUCGAUCACACACGGGCUCACACUCACAAUUCUUUCUGCCAAGAUGACGAGGACGGCUACCCUGUCGACGCUGCUCCUCCUGCCUCUCGCAUUCCUCCUCCUCCUCCCAGUGCCGGUACCAGCUCCGCGGGGCACUAUCUGCACUAGCCAGAUCAUCAGGAACACCAUCUCUCCGUGUGACCGCGAGGGAUGUUUAUUCUGGGUAGCCUACGCCCAGAUAGGGUGCCCUACUGGUGCGGUCUGCGACUGGAACGGCGUGUGCAGCAGGCAUGACUGCAACUUCACCUUGUGCAAGAAUUAUGGGAACCACCCUGCAGCUGCAACCACCUUACUUCCCUAAGAAAAGAUUAUAGCAUGUCGAUCUAGCUAGCUAGUAGAAUAACCAUUAUACGUACCUGAAACAAUAUAUAAAAACACGUACAGCUAUGCAACUAUAUUACUUGUUUCGUCGCCAAAUAAUACUCGUCUGGUCUGCGUUCUCAUGCGUGCCAUCAUCGUCUUCGUCCUUCUCUACGCGCACGGAUUCAUUUGAGUUGGAGCACCACCGAGCCGUCGAUUUCGCCCGUCUUCUCCGACUACGGCCGCCGUUCAUCAGCACCGAUACGAUUCAUCGCCGAUAAAGCAUCCCCGAGCCCACUGACCUGCCUCGUGUGCUGUGAGCUCCACGCCAUUCCUCCCCUUGUACUCCUCCUUGCGCACGUCCUCUAGCCGCGUCGGUCACCAGCCCGAGCUCCGGCCGUCGCCAUGGCCGUACGUCGAGCUCCUCAGCUUCAACAAGCGCUGCACCAACGUGUUCCUGGUCUGGUGAACCGUUGAUGCCUCCCAGCCGCUCCGUUUGCUCCAACUCGCGCCCUAAUUAACGCCGACGCCCGCAACCAUCGAACCCCGGUCGCCACUUGGCAUGUCGCCACCGCCACAGGGCAUCCCCGACAGCCCCGAGGGCACCAAUGGAAGCGCCGCACCUCCAGCUCCCCAGCGCACCCACUCGCGCGUUCUCCCAUCUCCUGUGGGGCAAUUCCGGCGAGGUCCCGCUCUGCCGCCGCUGCGUUCGGUCGUCGCCGGCGCGCGCCGUCAGUUUAAACCGGGCCCUGGGUCACUGCCAGUGGGCCCAGACGGAUUAACUACUGAUUAGUGCUAACCCUAAUUGCUGCUAACAGACACUUACAUGUGGGUCCCGAUGCUAAUAAAACAAGGUUAAUACAUAUAUUAACUCUGUGUCACCAAUAGGUGGUCCCCACCUGCUAGUUUGACUGGUUAAAGAUUGACCCAGUCAAUGCUGCUGGCCUGCUGACUAGGCAGCCCUGGCCCAGUGUCAGCCUCAGUGGCUAGCCCAAUGUUAGGUGACAAAAGAAUUUUCUGUGCAUAAUUCGAAUUAAAAAUAAAUACUGUACAUAAUAAAUCAUUUAAACUUUGAAAAAUCAUAUAAACUAAACCAUAGCUUAGAUGAAAAUAGUUUAUAUAUAUAUAAUGAUUAGAAAAAUAUGACAAACCAAAAUAUGCCAUCCAUAUAUCUGCCACACCCCUCUAACAUAAUGAACAUGGAACAUUUGCACCUGGAUCAACACAAAUUGAUGUUGGAUAUUAAUAUACUACUCCCUCCGUCCCAUAAUAUAAUAUAGAAGCGUUUUUUACACUGACAAAGGAAGUAUUUUACAAUUUUCAGUAAAUAAUAAAUUAAUUUUUUGUUAUUGUUUUCUCCCCUUUUACGAUCUAAUUAUACUCACUAUUUAUAUACUACCACUGUUUCUAAAUGUAAAAUGUUUCGGAAGUUUAAAUUAAAUUGUCAAAAUGUCAUAUAUUAGGAACUGAUGGUGUGAUAAAUUGUAUGAUUUUUUUUUACUUUAGGUCAAUGAAUGCACAUUUGAUCGAGAUAAAUGUAUACUCCUACUUGCUGUAACUUGCAUAAAAAGGAACAAAUAGGAUAGUAGAUCGACUGAGAGUCACACUGAGUGUAGCGUUGUGGUAUGGCUACAGAGAGGACAACCAUGUAUCGAGGAACUUCUGUCUCCUAAAUUAACUCUAUGAUUAUGAAAUAAAACUCUUGUAUCCUUGCAAAAAGGAAACUUGCACACAAAAAUUGUAUUCCAAAGUUUCAAGCAACUGAAAAUGGUAAACAAUACCUUUAGGAUUGGCCGUUCAUCUUCCACCUCGAGAGCAUUCCCCACAAAUCUGUAAGUUUUCAUUUCCUUCCUAUAUAUUUUCUCUUCCUACUUGAUGUCUCACCUCUCCACCUGUACUCCCCAUUUCUAUCGCACUUUACAGUCCCCCCUACCCCGUACCACAUUACCUUGCUUGUUGCCGUCGCGGAGGAGAUGCAUAUCUCGUUCUCGAUCCAACGAUGGCGGCAACCGGUUCGCAGAGAAAGAAGUCCCACUAAUCUCUUCAUGCUCGUUCCAAGUUCGAAGCACCUUUUGGCGAAAGAAAAAUCCGCUUCCUGACAACGGGGAAUAGGGAUGGUUGGACAUGACAUGAUGGGACUGUUGAAAUAUAUUGUUUGCAUCUCUC